AAUACACAAGGCGAAAAGUGAGCCGCGUUCGUCACGCGCCAAGCGGUCAUUUUACCUGCUUUCAGUGGUUUUACGUUUGAGAGGAAUGGAAACUGCUGACGCGUACUUUAAAAAAGGCAGGUGGUAAUUUAUAGUGCUAUUCAUCAUAUUUUGGAGACCAAUUCUUUAUCAUACAGCUGCUGCAUUCCACAAUAUUUUAUUAAUUUUGGUUAGUCAUUCGUGAUACGAGUUUGAACAUAAGUAU